GCGAGAAAACUUUGCAAUGUGCGAAAGCACGACAAGGUUAAUCCGAGUGGUUUCUGCUAAAGAAACCUUUUGUCAGUCCUAGAAACACUGAUGAAUAAGGGGUGGGCAAGUUCUGGUGUCAGCCGCCGCGGUAAAACCAGCACCUCAAGUGGUCAGGAUGAUUAUUGGGCCUAAAGCAUCCGUAGCUCGUUUUGUAAGUUUUCGGUUAAAUCCAUGCGCUUAACGUAUGGGCUGCCGGGAAUACUGCAUAACUAGGAAGUGGGAGAGGUAGACGGUACUCGGUAGGAAGGGGUAAAAUCCUUUGAUCUAUUGAUGACCACCUGUGGCGAAGGCGGUCUACCAGAACACGUUCGACGGUGAGGGAUGGAAGCUGGGGGAGCAAACCGGAUUAGAUACCCUAGUAGUCCCUGAGCGGGCUGGCAAGGCGCAU
rnacentral:rRNA from 1 species